rnacentral:rRNA from 1 species
CCUACGGGAGGCUGCAGUCGAGAAUUUUUCUCAAUGGGGGAAACCCUGAAGGAGCGACGCCGCGUGGAGGAUGAAGGUCUUCGGAUUGUAAACUCCUGUCAUUAGGGAACAAUGUGCAGACGUUAACUGCGUUUGCAUUGAUAGUACCUGAAGAGGAAGAGACGGCUAACUCUGUGCCAGCAGCCGCGGUAAUACAGAGGUCUCAAGCGUUGUUCGGAUUCAUUGGGCGUAAAGGGUGCGUAGGUGGCGGGGUAAGUCUGGUGUGAAAUCUCGGGGCUCAACCCCGAAACUGCACUGGAUACUGCCUUGCUAGAGUAUUGGAGAGGAGAUUGGAAUUUACGGUGUAGCAGUGAAAUGCGUAGAUAUCGUAAGGAAGACCAGUGGCGAAGGCGAAUCUCUGGACAAUUACUGACACUGAGGCACGAAGGCCAGGGGAGCAA